rnacentral:tRNA from 1 species
GCCCUUUUAACUCAAUGGUAGAGUAACUCCAUGGUAAGGUGUAAGUCAUCGGUUCAAGUCUGAUAAAGGGCU